rnacentral:lncRNA from 1 species
UAGAUUAAAGUUUUAAAUUUGUAUUUAUGGAUGUGUUUUUCUUGUUUUGUCCUUUUUUUUUUUUGAAUUUUACAAACACAAACAUUAAUAAUUUUUUUAUAUUUUUAAGUUAAAAAGAUAUCCAACAUAUCACCUUAAUUUUUUAGUUUGUAUCCUUAAGUGUGUUCAUCUUAGUCUAUGCUUUUUUUUUCAAGUUUUUAAAGGUCACACAUUCUGGUUUAUUAGCUCUAUUUUAUUCCAUUAAAUAGAAUUGACAAUUCAAAUUUUAUGGUAACCUUA